UGCUUUACACAUGCAAGUCGAACGGUAACAGGGUGCUUGCACCGCUGACGAGUGGCGAACGGGUGAGUAAUGCAUCGGAAUGUACCGUGUAAUGGGGGAUAGCUCGGCGAAAGCCGGAUUAAUACCGCAUACGCCCUGAGGGGGAAAGUGGGGGACCGUAAGGCCUCACGUUAUACGAGCAGCCGAUGUCUGAUUAGCUAGUUGGUGGGGUAAAGGCUCACCAAGGCAACGAUCAGUAGCGGGUCUGAGAGGAUGAUUCGCCACACUGGACUGAGACACGGCCCAGACUCCUACGGGAGGCAUCAGUGUGUAAUUUUGUACAAUGGGCGCAAGCCUGAUCCAGCCAUGCCGCGUGUUUGAAGAAGGCCUUCGGGUUGUAAAGGACUUCUGUUCGGGAGCAAAUCCCAGUGGUUAAUACCUACUGGGGCUGAGAGUACCGAAAAAAUAAUGCACCGGCUAAUUACGUGCCAGCAGCCGCGGUAAUACGUAGGGUGCAAGCGUUAAUCGGAAUUACUGGGCGUAAAGCGUGCGCAGGCGGUUGUGCAAGUCUGAUGUGAAAGCCCCGGGCCUUACCUGGGAACGGCAUUGGAGACUGCACGACUAGAGU
rnacentral:rRNA from 1 species